GUCAAAGUUAUCCCGAUGGAGCUUUUCUGCAGAACAACAUCAUUGGAAACUCCUCGUAGAAUAAACACGUGUUUUGCUUUACUCACAGAACUAUUUUAGAUUUCUGGGAAAGAAUUCUAAGACAGAG